rnacentral:rRNA from 1 species
UACAGAGGGUGCAAGCGUUAAUCGGAAUUACUGGGCGUAAAGCGCACGCAGGCGGUCAUGUAAGUCGGGUGUGAAAUCCCCGGGCUCAACCUGGGAACUGCAUUCGAGACUGCAUGGCUAGAGUACGGUAGAGGAGGGCGGAAUUCCCGGUGUAGCGGUGAAAUGCGUAGAUAUCGGGAGGAACAUCAGUGGCGAAGGCGGCCCCCUUGACCAGUACUGACGCUCAGGUGCGAAAGCGUGGGGAGCAAACAGG